AGAGUUUGAUCCUGGCUCAGAAUCAACGCUGGCGGCGUGCCUAACACAUGCAAGUCGCACGAGAAAGGGGCUUCGGCUCUGAGUAAAGUGGCGCACGGGUGAGUAACACGUGACUAACCUACCUUCGAAUGGGGAAUAACUGAGAGAAAUCUUAGCUAAUACCGCAUAAUACCUACGGGUCAAAGCAGUAAUGCGUUUGAAGAGGGGGUCGCGGUCGAUUAGUUAGUUGGCGGGGUAAUGGCCCACCAAGACGAUGAUCGAUAUCCGGCCUGAGAGGGCGCACGGACACACUGGAACUGAAACACGGUCCAGACUCCUACGGGAGGCAGCAGUGGGGAAUUUUGCGCAAUGGGGGAAACCCUGACGCAGCAACGCCGCGUGGAGGAUGAAGUACUUCGGUACGUAAACUCCUUUCGAUCGGGACGAUUAUGACGGUACC
rnacentral:rRNA from 1 species